rnacentral:rRNA from 1 species
UACGAAGGAUGCAAGCGUUAUCCGGAUUAUUGGGUUUAAAGGGUGCGUAGGCGGACUUAUAAGUCAGUGGUGAAAUCUCGAUGCUUAACAUCGAACGUGCCAUUGAUACUGUAGGUCUUGAGUACAGAUGCCGUUGGCGGAAUGUGUCAUGUAGCGGUGAAAUGCAUAGAUAUGACACAGAACACCGAUUGCGAAGGCAGCUGACGAAACUGUAACUGACGCUGAGGCACGAAAGCGUGGGGAUCAAACAGG